UUUUCCUCAGACCUUUGUUUUUGUACUCAGCUACCUCGCCACCAAAAAGCUGCCACUGAAACUUGUUUGUCUAAUAACGUUCUGAAACUUUCGGACCAUUAGAUAGCCAGGCCCAUUUCCAAACCCUUCUAUUGCUAUUUUCAAAGAAAAACAUGGAGAUGAAGUUGCAGAGAAAAUCCUCUUCAAGCCCAUACCAGAAAAAAAAUCUUAUAUCAUGCAAACACCUAUAUAUGGUUAGAAGGAUGACAGUCAAUAAUCAAACUGAUUUUGGCUUUAUUUUUCUUUACCAAGAAAAUUAGUUUGGUGCAUUUGCUCUGCCUCCUUCCAAUCAUUUCUUUCCACAAUAUUUUUCAUGUCGACCCACAUGCUCAUGAUCCUAAAUGCAAAAAUUCCAUAAUCUACAAAAAUAAGAUGGAGAGCAACAUAAAUCAUUUAUCGAUAAUAUUUACAUAUGCUCAUGUGUAAGCAUUUCCAUUGACAAUAUCAUGUCUCCUGUAUGAAGCAAGGUUUAAGCUCUUCUCGUGCUAAAAAAAUGGAAAAUUUGAAAUUGUAAUGUAUAAUCCCAUACUGUUGAAUGUAAGAAGUAUUUUCCACUCAUUCAUCACUUCUUAUCUUUGGAGGAAUGUUACAUCAAUGAUGUUAUCUCAUGUCAUUUACCCAAAAGCUAGAAUGUGAAAAGAUUUAUCUAGUAAGAGCCACAUAAUACUCCAUUUUGUUUGUUACAAGGUGAACAGCCUCAUCCCUCAUAAUUUAAAUGUAUUAGACCGCUGUUUCAUAAAUGAUGUUUCCCAAUUAUUUUUUAUCAUCACUGGCAAUGAGCAAUGCAUGCUAUUGGCUGCUAGGGAUCACUAUUAAUGGGCCAAAAAAUUUCAACUUAUGCUACUAAAAGAUGAUAAGCUAAUCCAACAUUCGAUGAUCUCCUAUCAUGACCCAAAGUCUUGCUGGAAAGUAACCUAAUGCAAAGCAGGAAGAUAAAUGACUCCGAAGUGGCACCUAUACAAUAAGUGUAAAACAAUGUUGUAACACAUCACGCUCUCUAAUUUGUAAGAACCUGCCCUUUAGUUUCAGACUGCACAAGCCUUGACAACUCUUUUUAUUUUCUAUAGCUCUUUUUCUCAUGCUUAAUCAUCCAGAGAUUUUUCUUUUCCUUCAGGCAUCCAUAUCACCUGGUAUACUUGUCGCCCUUGUGUCAAGGUUGAAUGAAAGAUGGAUUUACAAGCUUGCAUGUGCAUCAAGGUAUUUUAGAAAGUAAUCCUGAAGGAAGAACUGCAUAAGAACAAUAAAAAUUACCUGCACACAUCCUUGUACAUGGAUCCUUCUCUUCUCCAAAGAAAGACUUCAAUGGCUUGCAAACACUUCUUUAGAAUACAUAUCAUCAUGGGGAGGACUUAAUUUGAACCAUGGACAG
rnacentral:lncRNA from 1 species